rnacentral:ncRNA from 1 species
AGCGUUGGAUUGUUCACCCACUAAUGAGGGAACGUGAGCUGGGUUUAGACCGUCGUGAGACAGGUUAGUUUCACCCUACUGAUGAAGCGUUGUUGCCACAGUAAUCCUGCUCAGUACGAGAGGAACCGCAGAUUCAGACAUUUGGUUCAUGUGCUUGGCUGAUAAGCCAAUGGUGCGAAGCUACCAUCUGAGGGAUUAUGACUGAACGCCUCUAAGUCAGAAUCCCGCCUGGAAAGCGACGAUGCAUUCGUGCCUCGGCCUCGAGAGGCGUAGCUAGACGGCCGCGUGGCCGUGGAAAGAGCCCGAUUCCGACCCGAGAGGCCGCGGCAAGAGGCGGCCUCGAAGUCGGUGGAUCCUCCUGCUCGAAAGGCGGGGUGCUAAACCAUUCGCAGACGACCUAGUUGAAGAUCGGGGUGUCGUGAUCACUAGAGCAGUACAUCUCACUGCGAUUUGUUGAGAGUAAGCCUCAAGAUCUGUCGGUUUGU